AAUUCCAUAUCUAUAGUAGACCAAACAAGCAUAUCGUGCAUGGAUCAGUAGCAAGUUUAGGCAUCUUGAACUAUUAUAUGAUGCACAAUCUCAGCAAGAUUUCAAGCAACAAAUUAACUACAGAAAUACUAUCUACCUUGCCAAUGGCCACACCGCCCACAACGUUCCAAUUUCAACAGCAGAUAAACAACCAUACCUGGCGCCACUUAUGGUCAUGAACUGCUACAGCUUGUCGCGGUUUCCUCUCCUCAGCUUAUGCUGCACAGUGCACACAAACCACACAUAAUCAACUAUAUAUCUUUUUAAAAAGGAGAAACUAAACAUCAGAUUCCAACAGUUCAUACAUCAGAAUUAACCAUUUAACCCACGAAUUCAAACCGGGAGCUAACAGAACCGGGGCAGGUCAUAGAUACUCACCAUCUUGGAUCGCAGAACGAGGAUGACGCCGGGGAAGUUUGGGGUUUCGUGGCGAAGCCUGAACUCUAGUAGUCUAGCUCUUGGCUCCUAUCUUUUCACCUUAAGGCACCUAGACUGCCAUAUAGAUGCACGACAAAUCUAUAAUUGAAUAAUUGUACGAGCUCAUUUUGGUCAGUGACCUUACCUUACUCUUCAUCCCAUUUACUAUGUACCAAUGUGCAGAUAUUUUAUUGUGCUGGAUGAUAUAUGGGACACGAAAACAUGGGAAAUCAUCAAGACUGCCUUCCCACUGACUCACUGUGGCAGCAUAAUCAUCGUCACCACUCGCAUAAACGAGGUUGCUAGGGAAUGCUGUAGAUACAGUGAUAAUGGGCAUAUAUACAAUAUGAGGCCUCUUAAUAUGGAGCACUCAGCACAGCUAUUCUAUGGAAGAUUAUUCAGCCCUGAAGAGAAAUGCCCUGGGCACCUCCAAGAGAUCUCUGGCCAAAUCCUGGAGAAAUGUGCCGGCUUACCAUUAGCGAUCAUCGCUAUGUCUGGCCUGCUGUCGAGCAAGGGGAGAACAAGGAAGGAGUGGGAUAUAGUGAAGGACUCGAUGGGCCGUGCGCUCGAAAGGAAUUCUGAUGUCCAACGAAUGCUAGAGAUAAUUUCACUCAGUUAUUUGGAUCUUCCUCCCGAGCUUAGAACUUGCCUAUUGUACCUCAGCAUAUUUCCAGAAGAUUACACGAUUGACAAGGACGGUUUGAUAAAGAGGUGGAUUGGUGAGGGGUUCAUCCAUGAGCAGAGCCAACCUGGAGGCUGGAGCAUACCGCUCAGGCGAGACGUGUUUUAACGAUCUCAUCAACAGGAGCUUGCUCCAGCCAGGAGAGAUGGACGAGUUUGGUGUGGUGAAAAGCUGUCGAAUUCAUGACACAGUUCUUGAUUUCAUUGUAUCCAAGGCCAUCGAGGAGAACUUUGUCACUUUAAUAGGAGUACCUGGUGUAAAUCCUACUGCUGUUGGAGACAAAGACAAGGUCCGUCGGUUGUCUAUGCAGAAUGAAGGCAAGAUCCCACCGGAGCUGGUCUUAUCUAGCGUCCGGUCGCUUAAUGUUUUCGGUGCUAGAGUGGAAAUCCCGUCUCUGUCGAGGUUCAGACGCCUGCGUGUUUUAGCCUUUGAAGGCUGUGGGCAGCUACAGGAUGACCAUCUCAAAGAUGUGGGUGAUCUGUUGCACCUGAGGUACUUGAGGCUCAACGAAGCAAGUGGUGUCACAGAGCUCCCAGAAAAAACAGCUGGGCUAAAGCACCUGGGGGCACUCGACGUACAUGGGCACAACACAGUAAUGGAAAUCCCAGCAUCCAUUUGUCAGGCCGGGCGAUUGGAAUGCCUGGUUACUCUAGCUGUUGAUCGUGAAACUAUAAUGCCUGAUGAGAUUGCAGACAUGAAAGCACUUCAGGUUCUGGAAGGCGUUAAUGUCUACAUCCAGUCGGUUGACUUCAUUGAGGGGCUCGGCGAGCUAACGAACCUGAGGAAGCUGGGGAUAAGAUUUAUCAACAGUGAUGCUGAUGAAGAAUGGGAUGAGAAAUAUGAAGAGAUCGUCUCCUCGGUCCGUAAGCUUGCCGACUCAAACCUUGAUUCUCUUCGUGUUCAUACUUUGAACGAGCCGCCAGAACUACUGAACAAGCUAAAUGACCAUGGUACAGUUGACCUUGGAGAACUUGUCGUCACGGGAGAUAUUGUCUCGGAUCUUGCAGACUGGUGGGGUGUACUUGUGAACCUUCACAAGCUACUCUUUUAUACGUACGGACUCAGUGAGAAAGAUGUGGAGACCUUAGGAAGCAUAACUGGUCUGGAAUACCUCUGCAUCCAUCUCUUCGAUGCACCCGACGACCCUCAUGAGCUGAAAGCUCCCCUAGAGAGAGCAAUGGAUGCCCACCCAAACCGUCCCAGAUUGGUAUGGGUCGAUGAGGAUUAGACCUCAACUCAGGCACCAUUUCUUCCUUGCAAACACUCAUUCUUUCUUCUGUCUGCUCACCAGAUACCUUUCUGUUGUUGGUUAAUUCAGUCGGUUUGUGUUUGAUUCUUAGCCAAUAAUAAAGUUUGAACCCAGUUGGGUGCGUCCAUGUACUCGCCAGACUCGUGCUUAGUUCACGAUGCGGUGUUCCCAUUGUUUCUGUUUUCUAUUGGGUCGUACAAGAUGUCAUGCAUGCUUCUUUCUCAGUCGUGGGAUGGCGCACAGGUGAUCAUGCCGUUGCCAUUAUGUACGUGUGUGGUCCGUGCUCAUCAGUUCGAGCUUGUGACGCUGUGAGUGGACAACUAAGAGCCGAGAAACAAAAAAGCCUUGAUUACAAGGAGUCGCUUAGUGGAGAAACGAAGAGUUUUGAAUAUAAGAAUUCUCUAACACCCACGCAGCAGGAGUGUCGGUAGACCAAGCAUUCAUUCUUUGAAGACAACAUAUGAUAGGCCUUUUGUGAAAAUGUGAGCCAACUGCGACAUCGUGGGUACAUGAAGAACAUGAACAACACCGACGACAACUCGUCCUCCAUAACUUUGUUUCUUGCGAGCUCAAGAGGAACGGUCAAAGCCUAGAACGGGAGCUCGCCAAUGUCCGAGAGUCCCUAAGACAGGAGAGCACCGAACAUGAGAACAUGCGGGUUGCCGCUAUCUUGGCGUGCAGCGACCUCGGAAUCUCCCAACGCGAAGGCCUGAGCUCUUUAGCCAUCCAAGUUUCGAAGCUGAUAAAGGACGCCAUCUUCCUCGAUGUGCACCAGUCGUUUUCGAUCACUCCGUCCCAUUAUGACAACAAUGAUCUCCCGGCGUUGGUGCAGGGCUUCGCGCUGGGGUACACCGAGGAAGAGUUGGACAAAUUCGAGGAGACAGACCCUCCAUCGCGGCAUUUGGCAGAUCAGACUGGAAGGAGGCUCUUCCUAAAAUAAAGUAAUUGUAAAAGGAUUUUAUGUAUCCAACUAGGGAUGUACUAGUCUUAUGUCAGGAUUUAACUAGUCAUAUGCCCAUGCAUUGCUACGGUUUAUAUAUAUAUGACAUAGGAUAAAUUUUGUUUUAAUAAAGCACAAAAUAUAUGUUUUCUAUUGAUUAGGUGUGUGUGAAUGUGGAGUCAACAACCAAGAUUCAAACACUCACUUAUACAUAAUUUCAACUUAUUUUUUACAUAAACUCUCCUAUUAUAGUAGUAGAAAAAAGAUUAUAGGAGUGUGGGUUGAUUCUAAAGAAAUAUAGGAGUUUUUUCGAAAAAUAUUGACGCGGGACAACCGUUGAAACUGGUGCUUUAAUAUAGUAAAGAUGUAGGUCGUUGUUUCAACUGCUUCGCGGAUGACCACCUUGUUGCAUCCUGCCGCCUUGGGCCAAGAUGUUUCCGCUACAAGGCUCUUGGUCAUCGCUCCUACGCCUGCUCUGGGCCAGUGAAUGGUGAUAGGAAGUUUCCUGUGCAUCGACGACUAUUGAGGGGAGUGGUUUGGAGUAGGCUAUCGACAGUCGCGCCAACGAACGCCGACCGUGUGGCGACAGGGCCUGUCCCGCAGCACCAGUUGGCUCGGGCCUCGGUCUAGGAGCGACUUCUGCCUCCAGCACCCCAUCCACGCAAGAAGAGAGUCAGUGUCUGGCGUAGAAUCUCCCCUCCAGGCAUUGAGAAGGGUCGGGUGAAAGGGAAAUGAGCCCUUGGGCCAUUUCUAAGUAUUUUGGUGAUUAAGUGUCUAACACAAAUGGUUAUGUGUUAAACUAUGUCAAAUGAUGGACAAAGUGCAAAUCAAUACAAAGGUAUGAUUUUAGACUUAGUACAUUGGUUUUAGUGUACUAACAUAUUUGUCUAAGUGCUAGAAUCAGAGAAAAGACAAAUGGAAAAGACUUGGCUCGAGCAGCCAAGACUCUGCUCAGUCUGGGUGCACCGGACUGUCCGGUGGUGCACCGGACAGUGUCCGGUGCGCCAGGCUGGCUCUAGUGAAAAGGCCGCUCUCGGGAUUUCGUCGGCGGCGUACGGCUAAAAAUCACCGGACUGUCCGGUGAGCCAACGGUCGGCCGAGCCAACAGUCGGUCGCGCAAUCCGCGCGUGACCCGUGGCCGGGCCAACGGUCCGAUGGGGGCACCGGACUGUCCGGUGUGCACCGGACAGUGUCCGGUGCGCCAACGGCUCCAAAACUUCAACGGUCGGCUGCGCCAGAACAGGAAAGCAAUCAGCACCGGACAGUGUCCGGUGGUGCACCGGACUGUCCGGUGCACCAGUCGACAGAAGGCAAGAAUUGCCUUCCUGGAUUGCUCUCAACGGCUCCUAGCUGCCUUGGGGCUAUAAAAGGGACCCCUAGGCGCAUGGAGGAGUACACCAAGCAUUCUUUGAUCAUCUCUUAGCACCAAGACAUCUCUCUAGCGCAUUUGAUUCGUUGUGAUAGCAAUUUGAGCUCCUCUUGAGUUGAGAACUCCGUGUGUGAUCUUAGAGCUCAAGUUGUGACUUGUGUGUGCUCGUGCUUUGAGGCUUGUGUGUGUUGUUCUUCCCACUCUUACAUCUGUGCUUCUUUGUGAUCAUCUCAUUGUAAGGGCGAGAGGCUCCAAGUUGUGGAGAUUCCUCGCAAACGGGAAAGAGUAAAGGAAAAAGAACAUCGUGGUAUUCAAGUUGAUCAUUGGAUCACUUGAAAGGAGUUGAGUGCAACUCUCGUCCAUUGGGACGCCACAACGUGGACUAGGCAAGUGUUGUACUUGGCCGAACCACGGGAUAAAUCUUUGUGUCUCUUGUGCUUGUUCUCACUGUGUCAAUUGUGGUUCACAAGAGCUCUCCUUAGCCACUUGAUUUUAUUGUGCUAACGCUUAAUCAAGUUUGUGGCUUUAAGUUUCAAGUUUUUACAGGAUCACCUAUUCACCCCCCCCCCCUCUAGGUGCUCUCAUCGGGUACAUUUCGAGAUGAUGAAAGGGGCAGUGGAUGCGCGAGCAUUUGUUACUCCAUCCAGUGAUGUCGGAGCUACAGCUGGUUCUGUCUCGCAGGGCCCCCUCCCGCCCCGCCCGCGACGCAUACGCCAUCGAAAGCGCAAGUCAUCCCCUAGGGGUGGUUCUGAUCUGGGUCGUGGACGAUCUGAUCAACCCAGAAAUGACAAGACCCCUCUGGUUGUACCCAGCCUUUUGCAUCAUCAGCACCCUUGUGUGAUCGGUUGGAAUAGUUUGAUGGAUAAAGCAGAAGAAGAUUUGAAGAACGCAGUGUCUAUCUUUGUGGUCAGUGAUGUGCUUGUGCCAGUCGUCGAUAUCGCAGAUGCAGUCGCUCAAAAACUUGAAGCCAAUUCUGAUUCGCUAAUCUUGAGGCAAUUGGCUCAUGGACAUUUCCUGCUCAUGCUUCCCACCCUCCAGUCAGUUGACCAGCUGAUAACGAGAUGGAACACUAUUCGUGCAGGCGCCUUCUCUCUGCACUGUAAAAGAUGGUCCAGGUUUUUUGGACCCUCAGGUGCAAGUUUGCCUAUCCCUGUGGAAUUCGAGCUAAGUGGCAUUCCAAUUCAUGUCUGGGAACUAUCCACUGUCCGACACAUUUUAAACCCUUUUGCAUGGGUGCAGAAGGUACAUGAGGAGACUCUCGAGCUCAAGAAUUUGGAGGUCUUUCGCUGUUAUGGUUGGUGUUAUGACCUGGCCUCAAUCCCUCAUUCUAGAGAUCUCUGGAUUACUGAUUCGCUGGGAAAUGGACCAGGCGUUGAAAGGCUAUCUCUUGCCUAUCGUGUUCAGAUUAAGGUGUUGGAUGGAUAAUGUGUUGUCCCUGACCCCAUCCAGAUCCCAACAGAUAUGGAUGGUUCCACACGACAGAGGUGGCGUUUCUGUUCGCGUUCGCCACCAGGGGACCGUGAUGGUCGAAGGGGUUCAGCGGAGGACGGUGUGCUUAAGGACAGACGAUCUGCUCUUGAACGUCUAGGCCCAAGGUCUAAAGUUCAGCCUAGGGAAGAAGGCGACGCCAGUCAGUGUGAUCAGACAGCUGGAAACUAUGAGAUAUUGGAGGAGUCCUCGACCGUGGAGAUCACCAUUGGUAUAUCUGCAGAAUUUGCUGUUGUCCCGAAUUUGGCUGCUGACCGGGCACGUUUGGUGCUAGUUUCUUCCCCACCACAGGCGUGCACCUCUCAACCCCUUGCAGCCUCUCAUGCCUUGGACGUGGUAGUCCCACAGACUCCGUCCGAGGCCUUAUUGCUUCCUCCGGAUGUGGCUGUCAUGUUUACUACCGCUAGGUGGGGCAUGUCCAGGGUCCAUUGGCCCCUGUUGAUGAGCUCGAGACCGUGGAGCAGCUGGUGCCCAAUAUUGAUGAUGUUCACGCUGAUUCUUCUGUUCCAGCCGUCAACCUGUCGCUACUUAUUUUGGAAGAAAGAGGUCUUGGUGCUGCUGUGGUUCCAGACACUGUGCCUGCCCAGGGUACUUCUCACCCUGUUGACAGGCCUUUGUUUGUUGAGCCGCAGGAUGUUACCCAUUUUAGCGGAGGUGGCCUCCCUUCCCACCUUCAGGACCACUCUGACAGCAGAUUCAAAGUAAAGCCUCCCUGUUUCAAAGUUUACUCAAGAAGAAAAAAACUCCAGGCAGCGGCAGCCCAGAUGACAGAUGUUGAGAGGACAGAAAGGUUACAAGAUUUCAUGCAGAAUGUUACCAAGCCAGCUGCAAGGUUGUUGGCUGACCCCCCCCCCCCGGAUUACCAAGCGAAAGAAGAGGAAGACCCUGCCCAAUGACUUCAAUCCAAGGAGAAGCAGAAGGGUGGCUAAUCUGCCACCGGAACUGGGCAAUGAAUCUGCAGCUAAAGUCUGCAGGCAGCUAGGAUUUUGUGAUGACCAAGAACAUAUUUCCUUCGAAGACGCCCAAAAGUAUGUUCACCUUUUUGAUGCAGCACUUUCCAGAGAGCAUAUUGCUGCCAUGGCAGACUUAUUUGGCUGGGAACUGCCUGUUGAAGGCCGGUUUCAAACCUGAUUGGAGGGGGGGUGUGCUGUAGGUCGUGUGUGUUUUAGUGUACCCUGUUAUAAUGCAGCCAGUUUUUCUUAUCUGGAAUGUAAGGGGCCUGAAUGACAUGUCUAGGAGAGACAUUGUUAAGUCCUUGGUCCUUGGCAUCAAACCAGCGGUUGUCUGUUUGCAGGAAACUAAGCUAUGCUCUAUCUCAGCUUUUGACAUCCUGUCUAUUCUUGGUGCUGGGUAUAGUGACUUCGUUUACUCCCCAGCGCAAGGAACCAGAGGAGGUGUUUUAGUGGCUUGUAGAGAUGGAGUCUAUUCUGCUAUUGAGAGUUUGGUGCAUGAUUUCACAGUUUCAGUCAAGUUGCAAGAGGAAGGUGGUGCUCAGUGGUGGUUCACGGGUGUUUAUGGGCCACACCAAGACCCUCUCAAGCAUUCCUUUCUCCAGGAGCUUAGGGAAGUCAGGGAGACAUGCGCUGGCCCUUGGGUAAUAGCUGGAGAUUUUAAUCAGAUCUACAGCUCAGAAGACAAGAACAAUGCCAAUAUAAAUAGGGCCAUGAUGGGCAGAUUCAGGAGACUUAUCAAUGACUUGGAGCUAAAAGAAAUCCCGUUGGUAGGCAGGAAAUUCACUUGGUCAAAUGAGAGAAAUGUCCCUACACUUGUUAAACUCGACCAUGUUUUCUGUACAGCCAGCUGGGAGGAGAUCCAUCCGGAUUGUAUUCUCCAUAGCAACUCUUCGGAGCUCUCUGACCAUUGUCCCUUAGCUCUGCAUCUUAAUGAGGAUGUCAAGGGGAAGUGAAGAUUCCAUUUUGAGAGUUUUUGGACUAAGAUUCCAGAUUUUUUGGAGACGGUGGCUACCUCUUGGGAGCAGCCAGUGAUGUUUUCUUGUCCCUUGGAAGAAUGGCUCUAAAGUUGAGAAGGCUUGCAAAGGCUUUGCAGUCGUGGAGUCAUAAAAGGAUCGGAAAUGUUAAAUCUCAGCUUAGCUUGGCCAGGGAAAUUUUGCACGGACUUGAGAUUGCUCAAGACAAUAGACUGUUGUGUGGGGACGAGAUAUGGCUGAAAGGAAGGCUUAAGCACCACUGCCUGGGGCUUGCCUCUCUGGAAAGGACAAUUGCUAGACUUAGAUCGCGGAUCAAAUAUCUGAAAGAGGGAGAUGCCAACACUUCCUUUUUUCAUCUAUAGGCUUGCUAUCGGAAAAAGCGGAACUUUAUCUCUGAACUAGUGCAUGAGGACCUGAUCGCCACCUCUCAAGAGCAAAAGCAGAAGGUCUUGUUUGAUUUUUUUCUCCAAUUUGUUGGGUGUAGCGAAGCAGCGUGAUUUCACUCUAGAUUUGGAGGCUUGCCACAAUGCUGAUGUUGAUCUUGGGGCCUUGGACCUUCCCAUUACAGAGGAGGAGGUCCGGGCCACUAUUGCUAGCCUUCCCUCGGACAAAGCCCCGGGGCCAGACGGUUAUACAGGAAGGUUUUAUAAAACUUGUUGGCACAUAAUUAAGGUUGAUCUGAUGGCGGCAGUUAUCACCCUGCACCAAGGUAACGCGCACAAAUUGUGGAUGAUGAACUCUGCGUACCUAACCCUUAUCCCUAAGAAGGUUGAUGCCAAGACAGCUGGAGAUUACAGGUCAAUUAGUCUUAUUCACAGCUUCGCCAAAUUGGUAUCCAAAGUCUUGGCUAAUCGUUUAGCACCACACCUUCAAAAUCUGGUGGCUACAAAUCAAAGUGCCUUUGUCAAGGGUCGCUCCAUUCAUGACAACUACAUGUUGGUUCAGCACUCUAUCAAGGCCCUUCACAGGAAGAAGAUCGUUAGUCUAUUUCUAAAGCUAGAUAUUACAAAAGCUUUUGACUCAGUGUCAUGGGCCUUUCUCCUAGAAGUGUUAUCUCAUCUUGGCUUCGGACCCAGGUGGUGCGGCCUUGUGUUCAAUAUGUUAUCCACUUCUUCCACACAAGUGUUAUUGAACGGAACUCCGGAGGAUUAUAUUCGACACCGGAGGGGGCUGCGCCAAGGCGACCCCUUAUCUCCUAUGCUUUUCAUAAUCGUGAUGGAUGUGCUUAGUAGCUUAUUCAAGCAUGCUGAGGAGAGAGGAUUGCUGCAUGACCUGGCCAUCAAAAACGUGAAAUCUAGGCUCUCCAUUUACGCAGAUGAUGUGGUUCUUUUUGUCAAGCUUGCAGUUGAAGAUCUUAUUUGUGUCAAAAUGAUCCUGGAUUGCUUUGGAGAGGCCUCGGGCUUAGUUGUGAAUUUGCAAAAAAGUUGUGCUAUCCCUAUCAGUUGUGAUGAUCAGACUGUUCAGGACAGUUGUAACAUUUUGCAGUGCAUCCGGCUUCUUUUCCAUGCAGCUAUUUGGGGCUGCCUGUUUCUGAUAAGAAGUUGGGGAGGAGGGACCUCUUGCAGUGGGUGGACAAGAUAGCUAACCGGCUGCCCGGUUGGAAGGCUCCAUUUCUAAACCUUGCUGGCAGGACAGCCUUGGUCCGGUUCGUGCUCUCUGCAAUCCCCGUAUAUCUUUUCAUCGCCAUGAAUGUUCCCAAGUGGGUUAUCAGUGCUAUUGACAAAAUUCACCGAGGUUUCUUGUGGAAGGGUAGAAAAGAUGUGAAAGGUGGGCAUUGCCUUGUGGCAUGGGAUAAAGUCACCAGACCGCUGGACCUUGGUGGACUUGGUAUCCCAAACCUGAUAUAUAAGAGUUGGGCGCUGCAAGCUAAAUGGCUUUGGCUCAUCAAGACUGGCCCGAAUAGGCCUUGGAGUGGAUUGGAUCUCCCUGUUUAGUCACAAGUAAGGAAACUAGUGGCCAGUUUGAUGUACACUCAUGUGGGCAACGGCAAAAACACCCUUUUUUGGAGGGAUAGAUGGUUAAAUGGGUGCUCUAUCGCUGAGCUGGCACCUGAAGUGAUCUCAAAGGUGGAUAAAAAGGUGGCCUCUACCAGGACAGUGCAUCAAGCUUUGGAGGGCAUGUUGUGGGUUAGGGACAUCAAGCCAACCCUUUCCCUUGUAAGUAUACAGCAAUAUCUUACGCUUUGGGACACCCUGGGUGAGAUCGUGCUCACUCUCCAGGAGGAUCACCAUGUGUGGAGAUUCAAGUCUUCGGGCCUUUUCUUUUCUAGGUCCUGCUACAAGGUUCUAUUUUUGGGCUCCAUCACCUACGAACCUUAGAAAAGACUUUGGAAAUCUUGGGCUCCUCCUAAGUGUAAGACCUUUUUAUGGUUAGCCAUGCAGAAUAAGUGUUGGACAGCUAACAGGCUGGAAAAAACAGUUCAGCAUCUGUUGACUGGUUGUGUCUUCGCCAGACAGUUUUGGCAUAGCAUCCUCUCCCCCUUUGGUAUGGGCCACCUAACUCCAAGACCAGAGGAAACUAAUUUUGCUGAUUGGUGGGGAAUAGUGACCAUUCAGGUGCACAGAAACAAGAGAAAGGGAGUCAACAGUGCCAUUAUUUUGGGAGCAUGGUGCCUUUGGUUGCAUAUAAACAGAGUUAUCUUCGAUGGAGAUUCGCCAACCAUUGGCAAGGUGCAUAGAAGCUUCAUCGAUGAGCUAUCCUUAUGGAUGUUGGCUGGUGCCAAACACCUCGGAAGCCUUGGCUUGCUGCCGCUCCAGGCGCAGCAGGCUCGACUUAAUUUUUUCAUUGGUCGUCUUUUUGUAUCUUGGUCCUAUGGACAGAUUUAUUUAUGCUUGUUGUUGGCCACCAUAGGGUGGUUUUUUGUACUGGUCCUCUUGGACCUUAAUUUCCCUUCUUAAUAUAAAGAUGCGCAGCUCUCCUGCGUUUUUCAAAAAAAAAUUGAAGUAUUUGUGAUGAGCCCGACUCUCUAUAAUUGGUCCGAUCCCACCUACGGAUUAAGUUUGGUCGGAGAGAGGACUUAGUUACACUGGUGAGCGAAGGUACCAUGGCCGCUGGGGCACAGGAUCCUUGUGGUCGGAGAGAGGACUUAGUUACAUUGGUGAGCGAAGGUACCAUGGCCGCUGGGGCAUAGGAUCCUUGUGGUCCGACCGGUGUAAUUCGCUCUUUCUACCCACUUGUUUUGGUAUGGGUCGGGUGCAUCCAUGCUUGCUGCGGGGGAGGGGGUCAUUCUCUUAUCAACCCCCUAGUGAGGGCCGACCUCUUGCUGGCAAUGGGGUCAGUCGUUACUCAGAGUGGGUCCGUUGUCACGGGAGAACAAAUUCUUCAAGGUCGUAACUCAGAGAGGCAUGAAACUAGAUGUAGAGAACUUUGUCAAGCAAUGUCAGGUCUGUCAACAAGCCAAAGGUGAAAGGAAACAUCUUGUAGGGUUGUUGCAACCUUCACCUCUGCCCUUGGGUGUUUGGCAAGAUAUCACGAUGGCCUUCAUCGAAAAACUUCAAAAAUCCGAAGGAUAUGACACCAUUCUUGUGGUGGUCGACCGUUUCUCUAAAUAUGCUCACUUUUUGGCCUAGAAACAUCCCUUUAUAGCUUCACAGGUGGCUCAAGUGUUGUUGGAUCAGGUGGUAAAGUUGCAUGGCCUACCUAAAUGGCUAAAUCUAUGACCACUGAUCAGGACAAGGUUUUUACUAGUUCCUUAUGGACUCAGCUUUUCAAGUUAUUGGGCACCAAACUGAAUUUGAGUACAUUGUACCACCCUUAGACCAAUGGUCAAAGUGGACGUGUCAAACAAUGUGUGGAGAUGUAUCUUCGUUGCGCAAUGCAUGCCCAACCUCAUAAGUGGAAGGCAUGGUUGUUCCUAGGUGAGUUUUGGUACAACACUUCUUACCAUUCUUACUUGGGAUGCUCUCCUUUCAAGGUGUUGUAUGGCUAUGACCCACCCUUUGUUGAUGCUCCUCUGAUUCCAGCUAAGGCCGAAGUGAAUGUGGCUACCAUGCUCGCUGAGCGUUUAGCCUUUAGCACUAUGUUGUGAGAACAGUUAACUGGUGCUCAGAACAUCAUGAAAAUGUUGACUGAUAGGCUCCAGACUGAGCGACAGUUUCAAGUUGGCGAUCCAGUUUUGCUAAAGUUGCAGUCGUAUGCUCAACACUCGAUGUUGAAUCGACCCUCUCCGAAAUUAGACUUCAAAAUCUUUGGACCAUACAAGGUCGUCGAAUGUGUGGCCGAGUUGCUUAUCGUGUAGAUUUACCAUCUACAACACAAGUGCAUCUAGUGUUCCACGUUUCUCAACCGCCAGUCUUUUCCACUAUACCUCGGUAUGAUGAUCUGGCAAGGGGUUGCUCCUAUGGAGAUUCUGGAUCGGCGGUUGGUGAAGAAUGGCAACCGGGUGGUUCCUCAAGUGCUCAUCUGUUGGAGUCACGUACUCACGUUCAUCGGGAAUAUGUUACUUGGGAGGAUUAUUAUGCGGUUCAACAACACUUGCCACGCGCCCUUGCUUGAGGACAAACAAGUCCUUCGGCGGGGGCAGAUGUUACGUCUAAAAAAACUAAUGACACUAAGAACAUGGGCAACGAAGCUGAAGACGCUAGGAACACGGGCACCCAGCUGAUUGUGUCGGAUGGUGAAUAGGGAGGUUGGUUGUGUUGCAGAAGGCGUAUUAUUGCAUUACGUUUUAGUCUAUGGUUGUGUGGGUGUUGGACCGUGGAUGUUGGGACCGGCCCAGUCCGGGAAUAUCACUAUCACUACGUCUUUGAAGUGGGAGUUUCGUCGUGCGUCGUCCCCCUCCCCACACGUGUAGCGAGCGAGUGUCGCUAGAGUUCCUAUGGGCUCAACGAAAUUUAAAAACCGCCCGUUGGGAUUUGAACUAUGGUCUCUAGUAGGGAUGGCAAUCGGGCAAGUAAGACAUGGGUAUAUGGUUGGUGAACCCAUACCCGCGAGAUGAAACUUAACUCAUACCCAUAUCCAUAUAUGUUCAUGAGUAUGGAUCUGUACUCGUACCCACCGGGUUCCUCUACCCGACGAAUAUUCAUUACCUGCUCGCCCACUAUAAUUUUAGCAUUCAUCACACAAACAACAAUUUUAUGAUAAUCAAAAAUUUCAUCGUUCGAACAACAUAGAACAACAAUUUCAGCACCCAACAACAAUUUCAACAUCAAAUUAUUAGAUGAUAAUACAGACAAUAUAAAACAAUAUUCGUGGAAUGAUAAUACACAACAUUAUAGCAACAAUAUAAUAAAGUAGCAGGGGGCUCGGUGCAUUGGCCAGUCGCCUAGGCCCAGUUGGCCUACUCAGUUACUUAGUUUAGGACUUAGGGUUGGCCGGUUGGUUGAAUGGGAUUUGGAAAUUGAGAGAUGGCCUACUUGUCAGAUACCUAUCGAGUAACGGAUAUGGAUAUCCAUAUCCACGAAAAAUACACCCAUAGAUACCUUAAUAUAUCCAUAUAUGUACCACGGAUACAAAUUUUCACUAUACUCGUACCUGAUGGAUAAUUAUCUAUGGUUAUUUACUCAAACCCGUAUCCACUGUCAUCCCUAGUCUCUAGGAAGAGAGACCAUGCCUCUAACCACGGUAACUCGAAUUGGUUUGGGUUAUAGUGUUAUACAAAGAAACUAUAUAUGAUAUAUAACAAACUAGUAAAUAAUGUAAGCACGAACGAACAACGAAUAAUAACAUAAUUUUACCACACUGUAUCGCGGUAUCGCCUGGUGUCGCUCACGUCCAAGCGCCUUCUCGCCGGCGUCCAAGGGCCAUCACAGGUUGGUGCAUGUCGCCGGCGAAAGGCCUGACGAACGACAAAGACCUCGGUGCUCGCCCUGCCGCCCUGCAGCACAGCAGUGAGCAGUCAGCACCAGCGCUCGUCGGCUGCCGGGUGCCGCCCGCGCCCGCUCGGCGCUCGGUAGCCGCGGCCGGUGGAGCCGCCUCGUCGCCUCACCACGGGCCCGCUGCGGACGAGCGCACGGCCACGGCGCCGGCGCACCGCUCGCCGCGACGCCGUCUCGCACGCGCGCGGAGCCACGACCGGUCGUCCACAGGCGCGUAGGAGCUCAGCAACAGGCGUACCGCAGUCCGCAGUGGCGCCGUCGUGCUUAGGAGCUUGGAGCCGCUCAGCCGCCACCGGUGGGAUCGAGGAUUCGAGCGAGGUAGAGCGUCUGAGCGUGGAGGGCAACUGGGAACGCCAAAUGGACCUAAUGGGCCAUCGAUUGUGUACUGUGAUGGACCAAACUAGUUUUAUUAUCUAUUUUUUAUUUAAACGGGUUAAAUAUUGUAUGUGUACAAAAAUGCAGGGUAUUCCAGGGAAUACACUGAGCUAUUCCAGGAUAUACACUGAGCUCCGCCCUAUGCUCCAGCCGUUGGAGUGGAUUGAAGGAAAAUAAACUAAUUUUCCCUUCAAUCCCUAUGGAGAAUAGGUAGGGAUGGCAAUUCUUCCCGCAGGCACGGAUAUCCACGGGUUUCGUACCCGAUGGAUAUGGAUACGGGUAAGAAAUCUCGCCCACGGGUAAGGAUACGGGCAACACUUCUCACCCGCGGGUAUU
rnacentral:lncRNA from 1 species